rnacentral:snRNA from 1 species
GUGAAAAAAAUGGAAUGAUGCAGAGAAAAUCAGCACGGUCCCUAUGCUGGGAUGAGACACAAAUUCAUGAAGCAUUCAAAAAUCUU